rnacentral:rRNA from 1 species
AAAUUGAAGAGUUUGAUCAUGGCUCAGAUUGAACGCUGGCGGCAGGCCUAACACAUGCAAGUCGAACGGUAACAGGAAGAAGCUUGCUUCUUUGCUGACGAGUGGCGGACGGGUGAGUAAUGUCUGGGAAACUGCCUGAUGGAGGGGGAUAACUACUGGAAACGGUAGCUAAUACCGCAUAACGUCGCAAGACCAAAGAGGGGGACCUUCGGGCCUCUUGCCAUCGGAUGUGCCCAGAUGGGAUUAGCUUGUUGGUGGGGUAACGGCUCACCAAGGCGACGAUCCCUAGCUGGUCUGAGAGGAUGACCAGCCACACUGGAACUGAGACACGGUCCAGACUCCUACGGGAGGCAGCAGUGGGGAAUAUUGCACAAUGGGCGCAAGCCUGAUGCAGCCAUGCCGCGUGUAUGAAGAAGGCCUUCGGGUUGUAAAGUACUUUCAG